CCUACGGGUGGCUGCAGUGGGGAAUAUUGGACAAUGGGCGAAAGCCUGAUCCAGCGACGCCGCGUGAAUGAUGAAGGCCUUCGGGUUGUAAAGUUCUUUUGGCAGGGAAGAUAGUGACGGUACCUGCAGAAUAAGCCCCGGCAAACUCUGUGCCAGCAGCCGCGGUAAGACAGAGGGGGCUAGCGUUGUUCGGAAUCACUGGGCGUAAAGGGCGCGUAGGCGGCUAUGUAAGUCAGAGGUGAAAGCCUGGAGCUUAACUCCAGAAUUGCCUUUGAUACUGCAUGGCUAGAGUUCGAAAGAGGAUAGUGGAAUUCCCAGUGUAGAGGUGAAAUUCGUAGAUAUUGGGAGGAACACCAGUUGCGAAGGCGACUAUCUGGUUCGAUACUGACGCUGAGGCGCGAAAGCGUGGGGAGCAAACAGGAUUAGAUACCCGUGUAGUC
rnacentral:rRNA from 1 species